AUUGAACGCUGGCGGCAGGCCUAACACAUGCAAGUCGAGCGGAUGAAGGGAGCUUGCUCCUGGAUUCAGCGGCGGACGGGUGAGUAAUGCCUAGGAAUCUGCCUGGUAGUGGGGGAUAACGUCCGGAAACGGGCGCUAAUACCGCAUACGUCCUGAGGGAGAAAGUGGGGGAUCUUCGGACCUCACGCUAUCAGAUGAGCCUAGGUCGGAUUAGCUAGUUGGUGGGGUAAAGGCCUACCAAGGCGACGAUCCGUAACUGGUCUGAGAGGAUGAUCAGUCACACUGGAACUGAGACAGGGUCCAGACUCCUACGGGAGGCAGCAGUGGGGAAUAUUGGACAAUGGGCGAAAGCCUGAUACAGCCAUGCCGCGUGUGUGAAGAAGGUCUUCGGAUUGUAAAGCCCUUUAAGUUGGGAGGAAGGGCAGUAAGUUAAUACCUUGCUGUUUUGACGUUACCAACAGAAUAAGCACCGGCUAACUUCGUG
rnacentral:rRNA from 1 species